GACGAACGCUGGCGGCGUGCUUAACACAUGCAAGUCGAACGGUAAGGCCCUUCGGGGUACACGAGUGGCGAACAGGUGAGUAACACGUGGGUGAUCUGCCCUGCACUUCGGGAUAAGCCUGGGAAACUGGGUCUAAUACCGGAUAGGACUCCUGCCUGCAUGGGUGGGGGUGGAAAGCUUUUGCGGUGUGGGAUGGGCCCGCGGCCUAUCAGCUUGUUGGUGGGGUGAUGGCCUACCAAGGCGACGACGGGUAGCCGGCCUGAGAGGGUGACCGGCCACACUGGGACUGAGAUACGGCCCAGACUCCUACGGGAGGCAGCAGUGGGGAAUAUUGCACAAUGGGCGCAAGCCUGAUGCAGCGACGCCGCGUGAGGGAUGACGGCCUUCGGGUUGUAAACCUCUUUCAGCACAGACGAAGCGCAAGUGACGGUAUGUGCAGAAGAAGGACCGGCCAACUACGUGCCAGCCGCCGCGGUAA
rnacentral:rRNA from 1 species